rnacentral:sRNA from 1 species
AUGUGUCCGUGUAUGUGUGUGUACACAUGUGUGCACAUGCCUAUGUCUAUCCUGUGUAUUCGUGUGUGAGAAUGUGCACAUUUGAGUGUGGUGCUCUAGGAGACAGAAGGAGAUAUCAGCAGGUCCCCUAGUGGCGGGCUUACAGGGGUCUGUGGGUGCGGGGAUUUGAGUCCAGGCUGUCUUCAAGAACAGCAAGUCUAUUUAACCUCCGAUUCAUCUCUCCAAUGCACGUGGAAGAUCUCUGAGCCCUCCGCUUGCGGGCGUCUUGCAGACGGAGUUGAAGAGCGUACCUUGGUGAGUACCUAACUCCAGUGCUCAGGACGAGGGACAUCAGAUCUCACUCUGCGCUCUGAACUGGGACUUCCUCAGCUUCAUGGCCUCCUCUCAUUUAUGUCUCUUGAGCCCCAAUGGCCCGGUCUGUGAAAUGGAGAUAAAAAACACGCCUCUCAGGGUGCCGUCAGCACCCCAGAUAAUAGCACACUGCACAUGUAGUGUUCAGUGAUGUGGGGCUGCUCCUCUUAUCUCAGCACACAGACGAGAGACUAACACUAAAAGGACACGUUCCGUCUGGUUAGAGACAAGCCCUCUUCUACCCAGGACAAGACAGAGGAAAGAUGUGAGCGUGAGCUCCAGAGUCAUGGCAGCAGAUGUUGGUGGUAGUAAUUGUGACAGUGCCAAUGUGGGCACAGGUUCCCUUGUGACACUUCAUCUCCCAUCUUCAAUAUGAGAGAAGCUGCUGGUGUUUGGCUUACAGAUGCUUCCUCCGAACAUUACGCACUUCGCUGGGUGUUGGACACAUGAAGGUAAGCUGAGACAUGUCUACCGGGUCAGUCCGGGGGGUUUCCUGACUCGGUUUCCCCUUUGCGCUCCAGGCUCCACACGGACGUCAAGAACACUCCUUCGAUUCCCACCCCGUGACCUUCUGUUCCUCUAGCUUGGCUCGCACUCUGCAAUGGUGCAGCAGAAUGUCUUAGUUCAUCACACUUCCCUCUGCAUCCCUUUCUGUUCUCCUUGUCCUCACCCAGAAGCCUGUUCAAGGUCAUUCACGCUGAGAUGAUACGAGACGAUGAUCUUUGAAAGCGGUGAGCAAACCCUUGGCUUAGCAGUCCUUUAGUUUAACAGCGGUAAAACAGAACUUAAGUGCCCAUGAGAAGCUCCAGUGUCAAACAGGCUGUUUUAGGGGCGACUGCUGGGAGGAGCCCCCAUAGAGCCUCAAAUGACAAAUGGGUUUGAUUUGCAUUUGCUUUCUGGGUCAGUACACAGAUGGCUUCCUCCUUCUCCACUCUGCCCACUGUAUCCUUACUUGGCACAGCUGUGUCCUGUAGCCCAGUGACAGGAUGUAGGGGCACAAGAGGGUUUGGACACUCAGGAACAACUCUCUGAAAAGUAUGACCUCGGGACGAGAAUUGCUGGUGCAUUUUCAAGGUAGGGCAGCAAAUAAAAUACGGAGUUGGAAACAGAGAGGUCUCCAGAAAGGGCUGUGGGUUUCUAGGUGUCACCUGAAAACAGAGGUGGCCAGAGGAAGCAUCCAGGGUCCAGACUCCUAGAAUAAUUCUCACCAGGUAGGACUAGGAUGAGUUCCCAAACUCUGAUAUGAUGGAAGGGGCGUGCGCAUGUAUGGGGCAGACUCCAUGUUGCGUGCAUACAUUACAAGCCUACUGUGCAAAGAGCACUGGGAAAGGCCGUAGAGCAGGCAAGGUUACUAGACACUGAUGUUGGGCAUAUUUUGGCAAAAAAUUAAAAACAAAAAGAUGGUCCUGUUCUUCAAGGUCCUUGUGGAUUAGCUGAGUCUUGGAACAGAGGUAGAUCCAGCAAAGAGCUGCAAGUGUUGUCUACAGAAUGCCUUGUGGGCAACAAGACUCUACAGCACUGGCCAAAACGCCAGAAUGGCCAGCAUAGGUACUGUCCAAGAAAGAGUUCAGCAACUUCCCAGGUUCUGCAGGUAGGAAAGCAGACCCUAGUGGAGGGGUCCCUCAGCACUUCUAAAGCAAGAGUGAACACAGCUCGGAGGUCAUCCCACCCCAGUUUCCCUAGGAAGGAAAGGAAAAGGCCAUGGACAUGACACCCAUCUUCUGUGUUAGAGGAGGAAAUCCUGUUGCGGAAUUUACAGAGCAAUUACCCUGCAAAGCCACAGAAAAACAGAUGACCUGACAACCUAGAAAUCAUGUAAUUUAUCCAAUUAAACAUUUUUACACCACUGUAACCAUGCAGGUUCACGUAUUAGUAACCCGGAAGGUCUCCGUUCUAGACACUUGGAAUUUUUCAGCUUUCUGCUCAAAUGCAUCUGUCUGUCUGUAAUUAUAUCAUCAUCUGAGGCACGGUUGUGUAGGGUUUCAUUUAACUCUGCAUUUUUCGUUCUGUGGCCCAUAUGCCGCCCAGGGCGUGAGCAAGGUGUUUGGAAGCACACUGCCUUCAGUGAAGCCUUCUUUUACUCUUUCAUUGUGUUACUCUCACUCUGGAAAGCCCUGUGCAAGUCCUCUUGGCCAUGAAGACUUCCUCAGACACAGGACACAGUGGCUUCAUGUUGCAUACCUCGCCAUGGCUGUGUAUUACUUCAGCUUUCAUCUAGUAGUGUGGUGGUUUGAAUAUGCUUGACCCCUGGGAAGUGGCACUAUCGGAAGGUGUGGCCUUGUUGGAAGAAGUACGUCACUACGUAGGUGGGCUUUGAGGCUAGCGCUCAAGCUCCGCCCUGUGCAGAAGAGAGAGUCUCCCUCUGCCUGCCUUCGGAACAAGAUGUCAGUCUAUCAGCUCCUUCUCCAGCACCGUGUCUGUCUGGAUGCCGCCAUGCUUCCCACCGUGGUGAUAAUCGAGUGAACCCCUGGAACUGUAAGCCAGCCCCAACUAAAUGUUGUCCUUU